UUAGUAGGUACUAGAGUAACUGGGUAAUUAAGAAGCAAAUUCAAAAGACGUUUACAAAGUUUAUCGGAUUUACAAUUUAAUACACUGUCGGGAAGCGUUGAUUGAUAUAAGCUUAUUAAUUUAUUUAUGCAAAUUUUUUAGCACGUGCGUACAUAAUAUAAACCAAACAGAGUUCAAUAUAAACGGACACCCUUAGGAACAUCGUAGGUUUCCAGUAAUGCGAUACGGCCAUAACGAAAAUUACAAGAACCAAAAUAAGUUAAAAUCACUCAAAAAACAAACAAUAAAAAUUCAAUCUUUUUUAAACAAGAAUGGUGGGAAUAAUAAACAAGCUUGUUGACAAUAUUAUUUCCUAGAAAAAGUAAUAGGUGUAUAGAAUCUCUCCAUGAACAAAAAGAGGGAGAAAAAAGCGGUUCACUACAAUGCAAAAUAACGGUUAAAAAUAUUUAAUGAUCUUAAAGGCAUAUCAUGAUAGCUCAAGGAGAAAGUAGUCCGUGCAAUUAAUUUCCCUAACUCAAAAACUCAGGAUCGUAAGCAGAUGAAAUAAAUGUUAAAUAUGGAUGGAUCUUCAUAAUAGACGAUUAUCAACAGACGAAAACAAUAUUAAGAAACAAUUCCUUGAAAGAAAAGCUAUUGUUUUAAGAAAACCGAAGUGACUCACGGGAGAAAUAAUCGUUUUACUGUUUUUUAUUGUCAAUGUCAACUUGUAUUAUGGUAUUAAAUACUCCUAUUUUCUCGUGUGAUAUUUGGAAUGGUUUUACCGGUUUCAUCGACAUUAAGAGAUCGAAUUACGUAUCGAUUUUUUGUUGAAGUAAUUCCUUUGAGAGAAGUAGCAGCUAUAACUCCUGAGACACCAAAUAAACAUUCUUUAGAGUCGGGUGCAAAUUUUCCGUAAGUAAAUGGUAACGGGACUUUUUUAGUUUGAAUAAAGGAUACUAAACUUAGGCGCUUCUUUUCAGAAUCAGAAAAAGAAUCUAAAAGUUUCAAUUUGGCGUAUAAUAUACCUGGUGGAAGUGUAGGUCUGGAUUUAGGAUUUGAGCUUGAGAAAGUGUUGUAUUUCUGUAAAAGGUAAGGGGAAAUUUGUUCAUAAUCAUUAAGCGGAACAGGGAGCUUAAGGUCGUAAAUUCGUUUCAAGGUGCGUACGAAUCUGUCACUGCUGAUGAAGGCACACUGAUGCUCGAAUGUGUCAAACUUUUGUAUGGAAAUAUGACGGUUUUUUAGGAUCGGUAACUUCCUCUUAGCUCCCCAAUCGCCGCGAAAUCUUUGGCAUUUCUUCGCAGUAAUUGCUUGUAGGAUGGGAAUCUUCGUAUCAUAGACAUCAGGGGAGUUCCUCGGCAAGUCUGGUCUUGCUAAACUAACUGCUCGGGAGCAUCUCAACAAAUCAGGAAACUUCAUUAUAAUUUUGAUUAAAGAUAUACUUUGUCAGAAACAUCCAAAUUCUGCCCAAUGUAAACCACCACCGAAAAGUAACUGCUGAACGAAAGUGGGUACUUCUAAUGAGUCAAUAUUGUCAAUAUCAAUAGCAAUCACUCAGAAAACACACGAAUACGACUGUAA